rnacentral:rRNA from 1 species
AACGCGAAGAACCUUACCUACUCUUGACAUCCCGCGAAUCUAGCCGAGAGGUUGGAGUGCCGAAAGGAAAGCGGAGACAGGUGCUGCAUGGCUGUCGUCAGCUCGUGUUGUGAGAUGUUGGGUUAAGUCCCGUAACGAGCGCAACCCUUGUCCUUAGUUACCAGCACGCAAGGUGGGGACUCUAAGGAGACUGCCGGUGAUGAACCGGAGGAAGGCGGGGACGACGUCAAGUCAUCAUGGCCUUUAUGAGUAGGGCUACACACGUGCUACAAUGGGGCGUACAAAGGGAAGCGAACCCGCGAGGGGAAGCGAACCUCAAAAAGCGCCUCGUAGUCCGGAUUGAAGUCUGCAAUUCGACUUCAUGAAGUCGGAAUCGCUAGUAAUCGCGAAUCAGCCAUGUCGCGGUGAAUACGUUCCCGGGCCUUGUACACACCGAGACGAC